UACGGAGGGUGCGAGCGUUGUCCGGAAUCAUUGGGCGUAAAGGGCGCGUAGGCGGUUUGGUAAGUUGGGUGUGAAAGCCCCGGGCUUAACCUGGGAAUGGCACUCGAUACUGCCGGGCUAGAGUAUGGUAGAGGGAGGCGGAAUUUCCGGUGUAGCGGUGAAAUGCGUAGAUAUCGGAAGGAACACCGGUGGCGAAGGCGGCCUCCUGGACCACUACUGACGCUGAGGUGCGAAAGCGUGGGGAGCGAACAGG
rnacentral:rRNA from 1 species